CCGUUAAGAGGCCAGUGUUGAUCAGUGGCUGUCCAGGCCUUUCACAGCCACUGACACGCCGGCAGCACAAUGAUGAUGUCACUGAUUCUACUGCUGGCCACCCUGGGGCUCCUUGUUCAGGAUUCAUCAGGAGAAAUCAUCCUGACUCAGUCUCCUGGAUCUCAGUCUGUUGCUCCAGGACAAACUGUCUCCAUCAGGUGUAAAACCAGUUCAAAUGUUUAUGGCAACCUCCAGUGGUACCUUCAGAAACCUGGAGAAGCUCCUAAACUCCUGAUUUAUUCAGCUACAACUCGUCAGUCUGGAGUUUCAGAUCGUUUUAGUGGAAGUGGAUCUGGGACUGACUACACUCUGACCAUCAGAGGAGUUCAGGCUGAAGAUUCAGGAGUUUACUACUGUCAGCAGGGUAGCAGCACACCGUUCACACAGUGAUACAACGUCGUACAAAAACCU